rnacentral:misc_RNA from 1 species
ACAAAUCAUGAUGUUGGUGGUUGGGGUGGUGUCUGUUGGAUCUUUUGGUUUGACAGCACCACUACGACCACACUAUAACAUAAGCCCCGCCUGUAAAAGGGCUGAGGUAAUUUGAGGGAGAUUUUUCAGUCUCCCCUCAAACAUAUACAUGCUUACAAGUUUGACUGUAUUGAUUUUAUCAUGAAUAAUAA